rnacentral:rRNA from 1 species
GCUAAUACCGGAUAACAACAGAUGAUGCCUAUCAACUGUUUAAAAGAUGGUUCUGCUAUCACUCUUGGAUGGACCUGCGGUGCAUUAGCUAGUUGGUAGAGUAACGGCCUACCAAGGCGAUGAUGCAUAGCCGAGUUGAGAGACUGAUCGGCCACAUUGGGACUGAGACACGGCCCAAACUCCUACGGGAGGCAGCAGAC